rnacentral:rRNA from 1 species
UACGUAGGGUGCAAGCGUUAAUCGGAAUUACUGGGCGUAAAGCGUGCGCAGGCGGUUAGGCAAGACAGAUGUGAAAUCCCCGGGCUCAACCUGGGAACUGCAUUUGUGACUGCAUGGCUGGAGUGCGGCAGAGGGGGAUGGAAUUCCGCGUGUAGCAGUGAAAUGCGUAGAUAUGCGGAGGAACACCGAUGGCGAAGGCAAUCCCCUGGGCCUGCACUGACGCUCAUGCACGAAAGCGUGGGGAGCAAACAGG